AGCUGAGCCCCCGGGUGCUGUCUGGGCGCGGGGAGGGACCCUGGGAGGGCGCAGGGGAAGGAGCUUGGUCAUCGGACUCCAGAGUUGGAGCUGAAGGUCAAACGGUGGUGGGAAUAGACGGGACAGGCUCCUGCUUACCCGUCUUAUUUUGGAAGAUUUUUUAAAUACUCUGGAUAAUCAAACUUCUCUAAAACUAACAAGUUACAGGAGCCAUCAGACCUUACAGUCCAGGCACUGGGGCUCAAGCCGCCCCUGGCUUCUGUCUCCUUUGGAUGAGAAGUCAUCGAUCCCCUGAGAAGCUGGCCUGUCUCCACUGGUCGCCCUCUGGACGUUGGUUGAUCCUGAGGAAGGCAAAGGGUCUGUUGCACUGAACACAUCAGCUUGGUGUAAUUCAAGAAGCACGUCACAGUCUUGAAGGAGCACAGCAAGAAGGCAUCCUGGAGACUGGCUCUGGGACACUGUCAGCGUCUGGUGCUCAACCUUCCCAAGACAGGUUCUGAGUGUCAUUCUCCUGCAUCUGCUGUAAUAGACUGGUGUGGGGCUCUUCCUGGAUCAUGGAGGUUUUGAUCUCUUAAGGUCCAUAUUCAUGCUAUGGAUGUGACUCCCCGGGUUAUUUCUGAAGUGACUGGAUUUAAUGGUGACCUCCUAGGCAGGGACCUCUUUGAUGUCCACAUCCCCCCCAUGUUCUCUGAGCUCUGCACAUUGGGGCCCUAAUGUCAGGUCCAUUGUUGCCAUGUUCUGAGUCUCAGGGGUGCACAGUCACUGAUACUCUUCUUCUUGUGCUUGCUGUCUAAGUCCAACCUCUGUGUAGGACCAGACAUGGAGGACACUCAGGCACUUAGCGGUGACCCGUGAGGUCUCUGCAUGCAAGCUCUGUUUGGGAGUUCUCUGUGUGAGCCUUUAGGGGUCUCAGUGUUGGACUGUGUCAGAGGCACCUGCACACCUGAGUCAGAGAUCUCUGGCAGGAUUCCCUUUGAGUCUGUUGGUGGUCACUGUGGGAAUCUGUCAUGGUGCUAUUUGGGCCUCUGCCACUUUCUGAGAAAUUAACUCAACACAUGAGGUCUCAACUUGUCUCCAGGGAGCUGUCUUUGGUGUUAAGUGAAAGCAUGAGGCUGUGAGUACCUUCUGUGCUCCCCUGUCCCCCUUCAGAUUUUCCAGAGGUCUGUUGAGAGGGACAUCAAACUUCCCUGCUUUAGGGCUCUGCUUCUCUGGGAACUUGACCUAUUUUGAGAGCUGUAGGAGGCAAGUCUGCUCUGGAUGCUGGUGGUAGUCUGUGGGGACCUUAAAGGGUCUGUGGUGUUAUGGGCCCCCAAUGUCUCUCCCCUUCUCUGCUUGUAGAAUGCAAUGAUGUGCCAGCCGCCUCCCUCACUGCACUAACUAUGAACAACUCAGAACCACUUUGCUUCCAUCACCCACCUCCCACUCUGUUUGCUGUGUUCCACAGUCAGAUGGGACUGCACUUAGGAUCAUCCCUGCUCCACUGCCCAAGAAGGCCAGACCCUCUGCUGCAUAUGAUAACAUGAGGUCUCUGAGGUGCCGUGGUCAUCACCACAUGGGGUCCCUGCCUGGGCUUUCUGGGAGUCCUCCUUGGCAGGAAAGGAGACUGGGAAGAAAGGCACCUCAGCGAGGUUGGAACUGAUAUUUUAUUAUCAAGCUCUGCUCCAAAUGGUGUGGGGUUCAAUACCAGGGCUUGAUUAACUUGCCUUUGGAGCCCAUCCUGAUACACAGAAGGCUAAGCUAGAAAAGACAGACUGUGGAUGGGGUGAGGCUGGAAACUUUUUCAACUUGAAGAGAUUAGCAACUUCAGUUUUGAGGGGCCAGUGCCUCCUGGGCCUCACACAAACCCUUCUUGUAUGUGCUUCCUGCUCAUAUCAGUGAGCCGGCCGUGCACAGACAGCUGCAGGCAGGCAGUUGUGUAACUCGCUGGUGGAGGAGACUCAUGUCCAGGCUCCUUGGGAGGGUGGACUGUCUGGGAAGGUAAAAGGCAUGUUGGUCACCAGCCUGGAGAAAUGACCAUUGAGGGGGAUCUGACCCUUUUGAAACUGCCAGAAUUUCCUGACGAAAUGGGCUCGCAGGAUGAUUUUUGCGUUAUCUGCAGGCAACUGUUUAAGGGCCUCAUUCUUUUUUUUUUUUUUUUUUUUUAAAGAUUUAUUUAUUUAUUUAUACAAGCACUGGGUACAGUCAGAAGCAUGAGAGGCCUAGAGAAUUCACCAGAGCCAGAGUGACUCUGGCACUCGGAGCAGAGCAGGCAGACUGACGAAGUACACUGCUGAGGGGAGUAGUGGGCUGCAGGAGAAGUCUGUGCGCCAUGUGGGACCCUCGCCAGGUGGCCGGGGAUCGAACCGGCGCCGUGGAGGCUGCGGGCAGCGUCACAACCCAGCACUCAACUGCUGCACCACCGGGGAGGCACUCAUCUUUCUUUUUAACAAUGACCUUCAAGCUUGGGAGUCCCCAAAAUGCUGGGAGAUGUUGGGGGUUACUUUGCUGGUGGCUUCUUGCAAUUAUUUAUGCACAGAGGCUGAAUUCCUGCUUCCUAGCAGCUUCUGCUAGAGGUGACAGUGCAGGUUUUGUAUUGUCAUUGGCAUGAAGGAUCAUGAUCUGUUCUGAGCCACAGGGCUAGAUACCCUACAGCAGCCCCUCUAGAUUGGUCGUGAAGUUGGUGGGAAUGGAAAGGAGCAUUAGAAGUGGGGCUGAGUUUCAACCUGAGCCUUAUAUCCAGCCCAUUAUUGGGCUCCAGAAGGAGUUUAGUGUUGGGGUUGGGCCACAGGGGACUGGACUAAGGGCUGGGCCAGAGAGUGAUGUGAAGCUACUUCUACUUCAUGAAUUUGCCCAGGUAAGACAUUAAACACUUGUCCCAACAGGAUGGAGGGAAGUUGUUCUGGGGAUCCAGAGACCAUGACGAAUCCAUUAGGGACUCACUGUGCAGAUUCAUAGAUCCCAAGGUUUUCUGUAAGUGGCCCCCCAAAAUCUCAAAACAUGGCAGCUUUCUAGCACCCAGCAGCUGCUCUGAUCUGUCUUUCAUGCUCCAGAAUGGUGGGCCACCCAUGAUAUCCUCUGUGUCAUCCAGCGACUUGAGCAUAUUCCCCAAAGAAUUUAGGUGACUGUCUGACCCUUCUGCUUCUUCUCUCUCCUUUCAGCUGUACUCUCAUGUGGAUUAGCAUGUCCAGUAGCUUCCGGGGGUCAGGGCUGAUGAAAGUCGGGCUACCAGCCUCCACCUGGUGGUUUCUAGUAUUGUCCCAUAAUGGGGCCACUGGUUGGGUGCUUGGAAAGUCCCCUCUCCGGGACUCAGAAUGUGACCACUCUGAGAGGCUCAAGGCCUUGGAAACUCUGGAAUCCCACCAGGACACGGAUGUAAAAGGACGGGUUGAGCAUCCUGGGCCUGAGAUGGUUUAGAUGGGAGACUGUGUCCAAGGGAUAUGGGGAGAAGAGUAUAGGGCAGUGCCCAUUUGCAGUGACAGCAAGUCACACUGAGGAAGAGUCAGCUUGGAGCCUGGAGAUGGGUGGCCAGCAGAGGCCAUCAGACAUGGAGGCUAGUCCUCUGAACUGGGGGAUACUGAGGAGUGAGGUGAAGGAGCAGGUGAAUGGGGGCAAAGGCUCUCCAGGGGAAGAGGAGUGUCUGAUGGCUCAGAGGCAGUCAGGUAUGACUCUGCACUAACAGAAAUUGAGGAAAACAUGGGUCCUGGUGAGUGGGUGGAGGCGAGAGAUAAGGGGUGCUUGGUUGGAGAAGUUGACAGGGACAUGGCAGGAGUAGCAACUUCCACACACUUCCCUGGAGGCUGGUGGGCUCUGGCAGAUGCUGCUUUCCACACGUUGCUCAGGGGGUCGUGACUUAAGGGCUGAUGGCAGCUUCCCUUUUCAGGGAGCAUCCUCAGGUGGCUGCACAAGACAGGAGGCCCAAGCAAUGGCCAAGAGCAGAGGGAUCAGGAGGCCCAAGCAGGCCAGGCAGGUGGGCACCGGUAUCAUCCCAGUCUCCUUCCAUUGCCUUUGGCUGACCUGGGGCUACCAGCCUCCACCUGUCGUUGUUUUCUAGUGUCUACUCAGAAUGGUGUACCUGGUGGGGGGCUGGGAAGGGGCUGUCAAAGGGACCCAGGAUGUGACCAUGCUGACAAGCUCAAGGCUUUGGCAAUCCUUGAAUGCCAAGCAGUCAGGGACUAAAAGGACAUGCUGAGCAUCUUAGGACUGCAAAUAUUGUUGGUUUCACUUCUUUUCUCAUUUGGAUUCCUUUUAUUUCCAACCAUUGAUUGACUGCGCUGACUUGGACUGCCAAUGCUUUGUUGAAUAUCACUGAAGAUAUCCCGGCAUACCUGUCCUGUUCCUAUUCUUAGGGAAAACCUUUCAGUAUUUUUAAAUUUAUUUAUGCGUACAAGAUCUGGUUGUAGGCCUGUGGAGUGGUGGGUGAGAUGAUUCACCAGAGACUGAGUGGGGAGAAGAACAGGUCAAUCUACUAAAAUACACUUCUGAGUAAUCAAAAAGAUAAACUCAUGCCAUUUGCAGCAACAUGGAUUGAGCUGGAAGGGAACAUGCUCAGUGAAAUAAGCUAGAAAGAAAAGAGAAAUACCAGAUGAUCUCACUCAUAGCAGGAAUUUAAAAAACCCAAAUAAGGGAUCAGGAAAAAGACUAAUUAUAAUAAAGUUAAAAUCAAAAUCAACAAGCAACUAUAAACCAGAGACACACUGUGGGGGCAGGGAAGAAGGGAGUAGGAUCAAAACAAGGGUGGUGCAAAUUUUACAGAAACUAUAACCAAGAUGAAAAUGCAUACAUUGUACAAAAAUGAAAAAUGAUGUAAAAAUAUAUAAAAUAAAAAUAAAGUGAUUUUUCUAAAAAAAAAUAAAAUAAAAUACACUGCUGAGGGUUGCAGCAGGCAAGAUAGGAAAGGUCUGCUGCACCAUGUGGGUUAGUUCCCUAGCCUGGGAUCAAUCUCAUGUUUCAGUGGCUGAGAUAGCUUGAUAUGCUGUGUCUUUAACCCCUGAACCACCAGGGAGACCCCAAAUCUUUCAGUUUUUUAACACUAAGUUGUGUGUUUCUCUAUAUGGCAUUUAUUAUGAUGAGAUAUGCCCCUUUUCUUCUUAAUUUAUUAGAAACUUACUGACAAAUGGGUGUGGAAAUUGUGAAAUGCUUUCUAGUGUCUAUUGAAAUGACCAUCUGAAUUUUCUUUCUUGUUGAUGUGGUGAAUGUCAUUGCUUGCAUAAUGUAUGUGAAACAACUUUGUAUCUCUGUUAAUCAAGAUUUAACCAAGUUAAAUCUACUUGGUCAUGAUGAAUGAUUCAAUUAAUGUUUUGCUGGAUUAAUCCCCCAAGAUUCUCUCGGGGACUUUUGCAUCUGUGUUCAUCAGAGAUAUUGACCUGUUUUCCAUUUGUACUGUCAUUGUUUGGUUUUGAGACCAAGCUAAUGUUGGCCUUAUAAAAUGUGAUAUGGAAAUUUCCUUAUUGUUCAAUGAUUUUUUGAAGGGUUGAGGUUAGAUCUUCUUUAAAGUAUGAAAUGUUUGCAUUUGAAGAUAAAAAAAUCAGUGGACCUUGAGGGGAUUAUGUUGAGUAAAACAAGUUAAACAGUGAAAGGCAGAUAUCAAAUACUUUCACUUAUCUGUGGAAUAUAAAUACACAAAACACUUGUUUUGUACUGAAGAGUUGGAACAAAUCUUGAACUUAUCAAGAUGAAGCUAAUGGUUACCUGAGUGAGCAGGAGAGAGAGAGGAGGGUAUGGGAGAAUUGGAGAGGUAAGGUGUGGGCAUGUGUGAAUUGAAGGGGUGGCGGGGGAAUCUGGAAAUGAACAUGACAACAACAGAGAUGAAAAACUGGUUGGAGGGGUUCAACAGCACAUUGAGAUGCAGAAAAAAGAAUCAUCAGAUUUGAAGGUGGAGUAAUAGAAAUUAAGCAUUCUGAAGAACAAAGAGAAAAGAGUUUGAAGAAAACUGUCCUGUGAGACAGCCUUAGGCACACCACGCAUAUGAAUGAGAGUGUUAGAAAGAAAGGAAGGAAAAGAAAGAACAAAACCUAUAGAAUUACUGGCUGGAAACUUAACAAAUGUGAUGAAAAUGAUUAAUCCACAGACAAUGUUUACCUCUAGCAAGAUAAAAACAAAGAAAUCUACCUUUUGUCUCAGAGUCAAACUGUGGGAAAACAAAGGGUUAGUUUUUAAAUAGCAAGAGUAAAACAGUUCUUCAUAUCCAGAGGGACCACAAUAAAAAUGAUCAAACUUCUAAUCAGGAACUUUGGUGGGAAGGAUGAGAUAUUCAAAGAGCUGCUUGCAGUCCCACUUACAAGUGGAGGCCUUUUGAACUGAAAUGCUUGAUUCUUAUUUGAAAAUGCAGGAUGUUUUAGAGGAUUAUGUGUAUUUGAGUGUGUGUGGUGGGGAACCACAUAUGUCUAUGAGUACAGAGUGUUGGAAAUAUUUUCAGUUUAACUUUUAUUAA